rnacentral:rRNA from 1 species
UACGUAGGGGGCAAGCGUUGUCCGGAUUCAUUGGGCGUAAAGAGCGUGUAGGCGGCCAGGUAGGUCCGUUGUGAAAACUCGAGGCUCAACCUCGAGACGUCGAUGGAAACCAUCUGGCUAGAGUCCGGAAGAGGAGUGUGGAAUUCCUGGUGUAGCGGUGAAAUGCGCAGAUAUCAGGAGGAACACCGGUGGCGAAGGCGGGUCUCUGGGCCGAUACUGACGCUGAGGAGCGAAAGCGUGGGGAGCGAACAGG